rnacentral:lncRNA from 1 species
GGCCAAUGACUCCCACUGAUUAACCAAGUGAAUUUUCCUGUGGCUCCACUACAGUUAAAUCUCCAACCAGACAUCAGUGGAAAUCGAUGGUGUAUGUAACCUUAAUUAAAAUAAACCAUAUUCCAUUGGACAAACUCUUUUAUAGGCAAGCCUGGUUCAAGCCCACAACCUGAAGGUUGGGACAAUUAGUGAAUUCAGAUAAAGCUGCAGGCUCUACCAAAGAACUUGUAAUCUUUCAAGUUACUGAUAGUUGUGAUUGGUAACUGGUAAGAGGUAUCAUGCUUUCACCCUUUGAAUGAAGUGAACUCAUAUUAACUUGUAAUCUUUCAAGUUACUGAUAGUUGUGAUUGGUAACUGGUAGGAGGUAUCAUGCUUUCACCCUUUGAAUGAAGUGAACUCAUAUUCUUUUAUAUUAUUGAUAGUUGUCGUCUAUGAUUUAAAACUCGGACUUGCCAGGCACCUGAUCCCGAGUCAGUAGUUUGACUAGGCCAAGUUUCACCAAGACCGGAGUGAGUCUCUAGGGAAAAAACACAAGGGUUUAUGACUCAGUGUGAUUCGGAAGUCUCUGGGUUUUUGAAUCGUGAACCUUUGAACCGGACGCGGCAACCUGGCAGGUCUGAGUGACCCGGGCAAGCCCGAGCCCAAGUCAAGAAGUUUUCAAGCUGGUUGUGAUUAAUGAG